UACGUAGGGUGCAAGCGUUAUCCGGAAUUAUUGGGCGUAAAGAGCUCGUAGGCGGUUUGUCGCGUCUGCUGUGGAAACCCGAGGCUCAACCUCGGGCCUGCAGUGGGUACGGGCAGACUAGAGUGCGGUAGGGGAGAUUGGAAUUCCUGGUGUAGCGGUGGAAUGCGCAGAUAUCAGGAGGAACACCGAUGGCGAAGGCAGAUCUCUGGGCCGUAACUGACGCUGAGGAGCGAAAGCGUGGGGAGCAAACAGG
rnacentral:rRNA from 1 species